rnacentral:tRNA from 1 species
GCCGGUGUGGCGGAACGGCAGACGCGGCGCACUCAAAAUGCGCUGUCCGUGAGGGCAUGUGGGUUCGAGUCCCACCACCGGUA